CCCUCUGCAGCUGAAAGUGUUCAACUGAUGAGAGUUUUGGAGACGGGAGCAGGAGAGGACCACUUGGACCCUAAGGGGGGGAAUCAAGUCUAAAUCAGCUCCAAACAAGCCUGGCCAGCCACGACUAUGCACAUCCUGUUAUAGAGCCUACUGAGAGAGGUGAGAGAGUGAUGGAGUCCCGGGCAGUGGAGGAGCUUCUGUCUCUGUGUUGGAGUCUGCAGCAGUCAUCCAUGAAUACUGAAAUGGAGUUUAUGGAGAUGGCAAAGUCGUUAGAGUCCUUGAGGAGGCGCUGUUUCACCGCAGAGUCUGAGUUAAAGAAGUACAAGGAGCUGCUGGUGAAGUCAGAUGUGGCCAAAGCGGCGCUGGAAGUGAAACUGAAGCAUGUGAGGAACCAGCUGGACCUAGAGAUGCAGAAACGACUACGAGUGGAGCGGGACUUCCAGUACCUGCAGAGACAGAUGCAGCUCAUGUGUGACAUCCUGGUCCAAGACUCGAAGUCCAGCUCCUGUUUAAAUGAAGAGCAGAAGUCUCUCCUCGCCACGUUUGAACACAAGAAUCAGGCCAGCACCAUUCACAAAGCAAGCAAGAGGUUGUCCGUGAUCGACGAGUCCUCGUUUCUGUCUCACUCGGAUAUCAGCUACGACCGAACAGAUGAUGAUGUGGACUUGGACUCUACAGUCAUCAAGCCCCUGAAGUCCAGAGCCAGAGAGAAACGGCGCUCUUCAAUGGGUGUGGUCUCUGCUGCUAACGGGCCAGUGGGAAAGAGGGUUAGGACCAGCAUCUCCACGGAGAUCCAGACCCACAUCCAGGACAGGAUGAACCUGAAUAAAGAGGUGGAGACCAUUGGGAAGGUGUCAGUCUGCUCUCCAGAAUCGUCUCAGAGCCACAUGGUGGUGGGGAUUACGCAAGAACAAAACCAAAGAACCAUACCAAGUGCAGAGCUGGCUCCAGUUGAUGCAGACCAAACAUCGGUGUGGUGUCCUUCUGAGGAGACUCUGGAACCAGAAACUGUGACCCGGACCGAGGACUUCUUCAGGACCAACUCCAGCUCCAGUACCUUUUCAAACAUCUGCAACAGAACACCCAUCCAGACGCCCUGCAAGACCAGCUACAAUAUUAACAAUAACACUAAUGGCACAAAGCACGUGUUCAUCUCGAAAACGGUGAUCCGUCCGGAGACGUGCUAUUGCUGUGGGAAGAGGAUGCGUUUUGGUAAAAUGGUGGUGAAGUGUAGAAACUGCAGAGUUGUGGUUCAUCCCGAGUGCAAGAACAAGUGUCCCGUGGGCUGCUCCUCAAUCAGACCUUCUCCACUGGGACCUCAGACCAAAGCAGGAACACAGAUCAAACCAGGCUCGCUGGAGAGCUUCUGUCCCACAGAGCGCCCCAGAGUUCCCCUGCUGGUGGUGGAGUGCAUCUCAGAGAUUGAGCGCCGUGGGCUUAAGGAGAGGGGCUUGUACAGAGUUCCUGGUGGUGACAGGGCAGUGAAGGAGCUCAGGGAGAGGUUUCUUUCUGGGAAAACAGCUCUGAAUUUGGGGAAGGUGGAGGAUGUGCACGUGAUCUGUUGUCUACUCAAAGACUUUCUCAGGAAACUCCCAGAGCCCCUCAUCACGUUUCGACUGCACAAACUUUUCAUGGAGACUGCAGAAAUUGAGGAUGAGAGAGGAACUGUGAUUCUCUACAAAGCCAUCUCUGAACUUCCUCCACCCAACAAAGACACUCUGGCCAUCAUCCUGCUGCACCUGCACAAAGUGAUGGUGAGUGCCGAGUGCCACAUGGACCACAGUAACCUCUGCCGGGUUUUUGGACCAACGUUAAUAGGACAUGCAUUAGCAGAACCUUCUCCAACAACAAUAAUGAGGGACACGGCCAAUCAGCAUAAGGUGAUGAGUCGGCUGCUAUCCAUUCCUGUUGAUUAUUGGAAAAGGAUUCUGUCUCACACUGAGCAAACUCCUACAUCUGUUCCCCCAUUGGUCAGUGAGACUCCAACCUCUGUAAAGACGACCAGUCAGGAUGAAAAACCCAGUCGGUUGUUCAAGCCCGUGACAUCUCCAGAACUCAGCUCGUACAGAAACCGCCAGGGGUCUAUAACAGGACGAUUACGCAACUUGGGACAUGCCGGCAAUGUGGGCCGAGGUGAUCCCAGUAGACGCUUCUUCACAUCUCCAAGUUGAACCAAAAAAACAAAACAAAAAAGUAAUCUCCGUCAUCCAUAGAAAUGAGCUGUAUGGAAAAGUAAAUUUUAAAAGAAAAGUUUAAUCUUUACGGUGGAACAAAGACGGCAAUACAUUUCCAUGGAGAUGCACUCGGAAUGUUACGCAAUGCACCAUUUAUUUUAUUGUUUUGUAUUUUGACUCCAUAUAUCAUAGCAGAUCAUUGAGUUUGAGCAGCAAAUUGAGUUUUGUCUUUACCAAAUUUAAUCAUCUUCAAUUUGUAUCUUGCAGCCCAAUAAAACUGCU